AAGUGAGAUUCGUUUUUCUUUUAGUUUUUUGGUUGAGUUUCAUUUCCGUUGUCAUCUUCUAUAAUUUAAUUUGGGCUUAUCUAAUUGACAUGAUUCCUUUUUCGUGUCUCGUAGUCAAGUGGUUGUGUCAGCUGGUAUUUUCCGAUUUUCGGGCAUGAAGUGGCUGAAAUUCCCUUGGUUGCAACUAGUACUGAAAGUCAAGGACAGGGUUAUUUCCACUGCCUUUUCAAUUGCAUCGAGAAGCUGCUCGGGUUCCUAAAAGUGAAAAUGCUUCUGCUCCCUGCAGCUGAUGAGGCGGAAUCCAUUUGGACAAAGAAGUUCAGAUUUGGCAAGAUAACCCAGGAAGAGAUAAACAAGUAUAAAAGGGACUACCAAAUGAUC